UCCGCCUCCCGGGCUCUUCCCGCGGGGCCGCGUCACCUCCUCACUGCCUAGGCCGGGGCACCCAGCAGGCGGCAGCCGCCCCUCCCCGAGCGCGACCUCAGGGCUGGGACCCGGGCCAGGCGGGGAGGGAGGGGAGACUGAGCUUGAAGGGAGGGGGCGCCGGAGUUUUCUGGGACGGAAGUGUGGAGAAUGCGUGCGUGUGAGGGGGCGCCUGAGGUGUCGGGAGCGGAGAGAAGGAGUUCAACAAUUUUUAUGAAUUUCUAAUCCAACCUCAUCAUCCUAUGGGAAACAGAAGACCACCAAGAACAGCCAGCUGGAAAUAAUGGAGACAGAGGAACAUAGUAAACUGCACCAAAAGAUUGUAGUCUGUGGAACACUUGAGAACAUUCUACAUGACAAAACCCAGUUUUUUCAGUAAACAUAUUGCAAGGGGGAUAUAUAGUUUAAACAAGACUAAAAGACAUCAACCAAGU